UCGUUAAGCCGAUCACAACUAGGAGGAAUGGAAGGUACCAAGUCGAUCUGAAGCUUUGGUUCUCUGCAAUCCCUAAUCUGUCCCUUACUGGCACUUCUUCCCAGUCCCGGCAGGUAGAUCAAAGGUCAGAGGUGGAAAUAGGAUAUUUGAGGAGGAAAGGAGGCUGCUUGGAGGACGGCGGUGGGGAUCGAAACGGGAGUGAUGAGGAAUCAGGGGCGGAGGAGCUGAUAAGGUUCGCCGGAGGGAAGCUUUACCAGAGCAACGCGGCUGCGCUUCUCCAGUUCAUCCCGAGAAGUUCUUCGUGUGCCCUUUUUAUGCUGCAGGAACUCUAGCUCAGUCAGCUCUUAAAAGGCGAGUGCUUUUCCCCCCUUCGUUAUCAUGUAGUCAUUUCAUUUUCAUCGACAAACUAUUCAUGGAUUGGCAUUCAUUCAUAAUCAUGGAAUUUGGGAAGACGGUAGUUUCAAGGAUAAAAAAAGUAUGAACUGUUGGAUGAAUGAUUGGGAUUGUAAAACAAAUAGAAACGAUGAAAGAUUGAUCCUACUCCUUGAUUUGCA